AUUGAACGCUGGCGGCAUGCUUUACACAUGCAAGUCGAACGGUAACAGGUUAAGCUGACGAGUGGCGAACGGGUGAGUAAUGCAUCGGAACGAGCCCGGUCGUGGGGGAUAACGCAGCGAAAGCUGCGCUAAUACCGCAUACGAUCUAAGGAUGAAAGCGGGGGACCGUAAGGCCUCGCGCGAUCGGAGCGGCCGAUGUCAGAUUAGGUAGUUGGUGGGGUAAAGGCUCACCAAGCCAACGAUCUGUAGCUGGUCAGGGAGGACGACCAGCCACACUGGGACUGAGACACGGCCCAGACUCCUACGGGAGGCAGCAGUGGGGAAUUUUGGACAAUGGGCGAAAGCCUGAUCCAGCAAUGCCGCGUGCAGGAAGAAGGCCUUCGGGUUGUAAACUGCUUUUGUACGGAGCGAAAAGGUCUCCUCUAAUACAGGGGGCUCAUGACGGUACCGUAAGAAUAAGCACCGGCUAACUACGUGCCAGCAGCCGCCGUAA
rnacentral:rRNA from 1 species